AGCGAGUGUUAAAGGUUAAUGCAACCCGGGAAAACGAGAAUCGUGUUUCAUCAUCAUCUGCGUUUUCGUAUUAGUUAUGAGAGAAACGAAACGCGUUCACGAGAUAGCGGAGCUGCAUUCCACGUGCACGUGCACGUAGCGAAGCGCAUCAUUUCCCAAUCGUUUAUCGCCGUACCUCGCCGAUAUUCCUCGAGCCAAGUUUCUCCGUGGAGCUGUGUGCCAACGUUUCGAGUGGAUUUGAUCGACGUCCCGUUGGUGAUUAGACGCGGCUGCGAUAUUGAGUUUCGCAGUUGGACUGGUGUAACUUUGGAGAGUCCUGUAGUGUUGAGAAUGUCGUGCGGGAGAGUUUGUCGGCGAUGAGGAACAACUCGGUGGUCCUAUGGCUGAUUCAGGUCUCGUAUCGAGUCGAACGCUUUCUUCCGAGACGUUCACGUCCUUCAGGUCUUUCGGGGAUUCUUGAAAGAAAUCGAUUUUUAUUUACCUUCAACGCGUUGCUUCGUAGAAUACAGGAAAAACCAAGAUACCUUCGGAAGAAUUUCUUAUUUCUGAUAUUUCACUACUUCAUAUAAAAGACUAAAAAUGUAGCACGAUUUAUACUGACAUAAUCUUUAAGUAGAAUUUUUAAAUGGUUUUACGUAUGAACGUUUUAUAGAAGAAAUAACAUAGAAACGUAUAUGACAAAGUUAUAUGAAAGCAGCAAAUAAAUGUUCAUUAAAAAACACAGUGAUGAAGAUGGUAAGUUACGUAUUUUCUGCCAUUCUACUUUUAAUAUUAAAACAGGACUAAUUUUUGUCUCUCAUUUUCUUUACUUCUUCCUCUUGUUUAAAACGAGUCAUACGCGUUCUACGUUAUUUAGGUCAGAAUACCAUUUAACGUAGCAUUAAAAAAAAAAGAGAUUGUAAAUAAGGGAAAACCAUAAAUUACCCAACCUAUGUAAAAAUAUCUAAAAGUUUCCACGUGAAAACAUUUUCUAUAAAUAUAUUUACUUGCCAUUAUAAAACAAGUAACGUAUACCUUGCAAUAGUUUUGCAAUGAGGCUUUUGUACGAUGUUGUGUACCUUCAAAAUUGAAGAAAGGUAAUAAAGUAAAUUACUCGAUUCAAGUUUCAAUGGCCACGUGCGUUGCGAAGGGGGAAAAUUUUAUCUGCGUUCCUCGAAAGCAAGAAGCGAAGGAUUUCGUGUUAUAAAACUCACCGGAAGUGGCCACUAUCGCGUACGUAGAUUUAUAUUGUGGGCUGACAAGGGGUGAAUUGAAUUGUUCCAUUGUCAAAGACUCGUGCAUGCUUCCGUCCUCUGGCAUGUCCGGCGAUACGUGAUUGGCAGUCUCUGUCAGCAUUCCACCGGGAGUUAAAUUUAGUAG
rnacentral:misc_RNA from 1 species